UUUUUUUUCCCUUUCACCGUCAUCCAUGAGAAGACACAGUGUUCCAUCCAGAGGAUGUAGCAUCAAGGCGUCAUCUUAAAAGCAGAGAAAAGACUCUUACUUGACACCAGAUGCCAGUGCAUUGAUCUUGGACUUCCCAGCCUCUAGAACUAUUUAGUUCAGCCUGGUGUGGAUGCAUUUCAGAAUCUGUGAAAAAUGGAAUCACAAUGCUGUGACAGCAGCAUUUCUGCCUGUGGUAUCUGUGAAGCAGGUAAACAGCCCUGGGACAAAGAACAGACUACGGGUAUUGCCUUCUUAAUCAACAAUAAAGUAUUAGUUGGCUUCCAGGCAGACACCACUGACUUUCAAGAGAAAGGCACGGGAGUAAGGAAGUAAAGAAUUCAGGUGCUGCUUGAAAAUACAACAAACUGUCUUCAGAAUACUUUUAUGUGUUGUUGAAAGAAAGCACUGCAGCUAAUAUAGCUACAAAGGAGAAACAGUUAUUCUUAAAUGUCAUCUAUUUGCUGGACCUGAACAGGAAUUCACUAUGGAGCUCAUACAACUACCACCUUCAGCUAUUAAUCAAGGAGUCAUUCAACUGAGAAAGGGGAGAUUGAGAUGUUGAAUCAUUUCUCAUUCUGUGAAGUCUACCAGAAUAACCCAUAAAGCAAAUAUCAACCUAUUUCAAUUAGAAAAAUGAAAAAUACUGAUACAGCAGACGAAUUCUGGAACUAACACUUCCACAAAUCAUUGAUAAUCCAUUUUCCAACUUCUUCAAAUUCCAGACCAUCAACAAGCUAUUCAAAACAAUAAAUGUUAAUAGUUUUGGUGGAGUUAAGCAGCAGAAGUUAAAAGCAUUGUGGAAGACAGUAUGGUGAUUCCUCAAGGAUCUAGAAGCGGAAAUACCAUUUGACCCAGCAAUCCCAUUAUUGGGAUCUCUGUCGAAGUACAGAUCAGGCAUGACCUCCCAUGGGUGUUCACGGGAAAUGGUGCCACACAUGCGCAGAACUUCCCGAGCCAGCAUCCACCACAUCAAACCCACUGAAUGUACUGUUCCAUCUGGAAGUCAAGAUUGGUGCCACCUAAGUGGGUUCCUGCUGCAAGGAACUUAAGGACAUCCUCCUUCAUUUGCAGGACAUCAAGGGCUCCGGACAUUGUGAAAGUUUCCCUUUAAGUUACGACGGGAAUCCAGAACAACGCCGUAUGGACCCCUCUG
rnacentral:lncRNA from 1 species